rnacentral:tRNA from 1 species
GCGUUCCUGGCCGAUGAGGAGGCGACCGGCGACUACGGCUCGCGGCACGCGGUGACCGCGCACCGGGAGCUGUUCGACGGCGUGACGCA